rnacentral:rRNA from 1 species
UACGGGAGGCAGCAGUGGGGAAUAUUGCACAAUGGGCGCAAGCCUGAUGCAGCCAUGCCGCGUGUAUGAAGAAGGCCUUCGGGUUGUAAAGUACUUUCAGUCGUGAGGAAGGUGUUAAGGUUAAUAACCUUAGCAAUUGACGUUAGCGACAGAAGAAGCACCGGCUAACUCCGUGCCAGCAGCCGCGGUAAUACGGAGGGUGCGAGCGUUAAUCGGAAUUACUGGGCGUAAAGGGCACGCAGGCGGUUAAUUAAGUUGGAUGUGAAAUCCCCGGGCUUAACCUGGGAAUGGCAUUCAAGACUGGUUAGCUAGAGUCUUGUAGAGGGGGUAGAAUUCCAUGUGUAGCGGUGAAAUGCGUAGAGAUGUGGAGGAAUACCGGUGGCGAAGGCGGCCCCUGGACAAAAGACUGACGCUCAUGUGCGAAAAGCGUGGGGAGCAAAACAGGGAUUAGAUACC